AUGAACUCCGCACAGGAUCCGGCCACAGCCGUGGACCGGCAGCCAGCAUCUGCAAAGUGGUACGACAGAAGAGACUACGUCUUCUUGAAUUUUGUGUGGAGGACAGCAAAAAUGUAAAAACAGACUUCGAUAAAAAUAAAUUAACAUUCAGUUGUCUUGGAGGAGCGGAUAGUGUAAAAAAUAUUUAAAUGAAGUUGAACUUUUUCAGUCUAUUGAUCCCAAUGCAUCUAAACAUAAAAGAACAGACAGAUCUGUUUUGUGUUGUUUACGAAAAGGAGAGCCUGGAAAAUCAUGGCCACGACUGACAAAAAGAAAAGGCAAAGGUAUUUUACUACAUAAAAUAUUGCAGCUUAAUUGGCUUAGUGUGGACUUCAAUAACUGGAAAGAUUGGGAAGAUGACUCUGAUGAAGACAUGUCAAAUUUGACCACUUUUCUGAGAUGAUGAACAAUAUGGGAGGAGAUGAGGAUGUGAUUUACCAGAAGUAGAUGGUGCAGAUGAUGACUCACCAGACAGUGAUGAUGAAAAAAUGCCUGACCUUGAAUAAGAAAAGUCCUCUUGCAGUUUGGGAAAUGGAUGGGAAAAUAGGUGGAAAGCAAAAUAUUUCAACACACUGCAACACUCGCUGAAAUCUGAGUUGUAAAUACAGUUACUGAGUACUUCCAGUCAGCCUUGUUUGUUUAUCACCACCAAAUGGCUUUCAUUGAGGGUCAGAAAUUACAGUUGUACAGUGCAUCAUUCACUCAUUCACACCAUUCAGCCUCUUCUAGAUGUAUUUUGUUGAUUACCUGUAUUUAUGCAAGACUUCACAGCUUGGUAUUGCAUAUAGUCACAAUAUCAAUGCACUUAAACUUUUUUUUUUUCUGGGGGGGGGGGGAGAUGGUGUGCAUCUUAUCUGAACCAGCAGGUCACAUCUUACAUGUGUAUCUCUUCUGACAACACAUACAAACAUUUUCCCAAAUUAAUGUACACAUCUUAGCAAUUGUAAUGGAACCCAGGUCAGAUUCUUCUUUGUGGAUCAUAAACACAGCCAAACGGUCACUAAGCAUUGUAGUGGUGGGGACAAGUGGCUGGCAUGUAGGUCCUGCUUUGGAUGCGACUGGGUUAAAAGAUUGAACAUUUGAAUGAAAAUAAUGUGGGUGAGUAGCAAGACAUGUUAGGAGAGACGGAUGUGCUGUUUGAUUAUGGAAAGGUGAUUCUGAAGUAAUACAAUUGAUCUAUUUUGCAUCAGUGUAUAAUUGCACAAGUCUCAAUCGUCUGAUCAAUUUAUAGUAGAAAACCUGCAAAUUAGAAAGAAAUAAGAAAGUAUAAAACUGCAAUCCACAGCUUUUCUUUUACUCCUAACUGGUUUAAUUUUAUGUAGUGUUCCACCCAAUCGUGUCACUCUUGGGAGUUUGUUAGAUGCAGCACGGAACUUAAUUUUCCUUUAAUAGCGUCUUCUGUCAAUACUGUGACACAAGCUGAUUUUAUUUACCUUAAUUUUGAAAUGUGCUUUUGUAUUUUAAUGCUUUGAUAUAGCCAUACCAUUUGUUCCCCAUAUUAGUUUCUAGCAGCACAUUCUAUACAUUUGCUAGCCUUAUUCUAAUUCAGAUUUUCAGGACAUCCUUAUGCAACUACUUGUCAGUAAAUUCAACGUGUGUGUGCUUUUAGAAGGAUUGUCUGGGUUAUGUUUUUGGGUUGGACACCAAGGAUGACAGUAAGAACUUUGUUCUCACAGCUUCUAAAACAUGCCUGUACAAUUGUUUUUCUUUCACCCGUUUGCAUCUCUGUCUUUGGAAGAGUGCAGCCAGCUGUACAUUAUUUCUCAUCAGUCUGUACAUUUAGACCAAAUUGUAUUUGCACUGUCACAGUAUAUAUUAAAAAGAGAGUAACAAAAUGUCAAUACACUAUUCUGUUUUGUUUUAUUCCUUUUUUUUUUGAUCAGGAAACGAUACCUAAAGUUGUUUUGGAAGUGGUGGGGAUUUUUUUUUAAUUGUCUGCAUUAUUUCUAAUAAACUGUUAAGAGACAA